rnacentral:rRNA from 1 species
AACAAACGCUGGCGACGUGCCUAACACAUGCAAGUCGUACGAGAAAGGGUCCUUCGGGGCCUGAGUAAAGUGGCGCACGGGUGAGUAACGCGUGGAUAAUCUGCCCUUCAGUUGGGAAUAACUCAUCGAAAGGUGGGCUAAUACCGAAUAAUGCUGUGAGACCUCGGUUGAUCAGCCAAAGAGAGCCUCUGCUUGCAAGCCCUCGCUGAAGGAUGAGUCCGCGUACCAUUAGCUAGUUGGUAGGGUAAUGGCCUACCAAGGCGACGAUGGUUAGAUGGUCUGAGAGGAUGAUCAGCCACACUGGAACUGAGACACGGUCCAGACUCCUACGGGAGGCAGCAGUGAGGAAUCUUGCGCAAUGGGGGCAACCCUGACGCGGCAACGCCACGUGAGUGAGGAAGGUCUUCGGAUCGUAAAGCUCUGUCGGAUGGAAAGAACCGCAUAGGGGUAAACAGCCCCUGUGUCUGACGGUACCAUCAAAGGAAGCACCGGCUAACUCCGUGCCAGCCGCCGCAGUAACAC